UAUGGUGACUAUUGCGGUGGGGCUCCACCUCUUCCCAUUCCGAACAGAGAAGUUAAGCCCACCAGCGCCGAUGGUACUGCUAACGCGGGAGAGUAGGUCGUCGCCUUUU
rnacentral:rRNA from 1 species